rnacentral:rRNA from 1 species
GAUGAAUGCUGGCGGCGUGCCUAAUACAUGCAAGUCGAGCGCAGGAAGCCGUCUGAACCCUUCGGGGGGACGACGGUGGAAUGAGCGGCGGACGGGUGAGUAACACGUAAAGAACCUGCCCACGGGUCUGGGAUAACCACGAGAAAUCGGGGCUAAUACCGGACGGGUCAUCGGACCGCAUGGUCCGAGGAUGAAAGGCGCUCCGGCGUCGCCGGUGGCUGGCUUUGCGGUGCAUUAGCUAGUUGGUGGGGUAACGGCCCACCAAGGCGACGAUGCAUAGCCGACCUGAGAGGGUGAUCGGCCACACUGGGACUGAGACACGGCCCAGACUCCUACGGGAGGCAGCAGUAGGGAAUCUUCCACAAUGGACGAAAGUCUGAUGGAGCAACGCCGCGUGAACGAUGAAGGCCCUCGGGUCGUAAAGUUCUGUUGUAAGGGAAGAACAAGUGCCGCAGGCAAUGGCGGCACCUUGACGGUACCUUGCGAGAAAGCCACGGCUAACUACGUGCCAGCCGCCGCCGUAA